UUUCCUUAGCCUACAAUUGUUGCAGGCCUCGCUAGAAUUUCGGCGUCUUCUGAAAAGUUGUGUUGUUUCAAAGCAUCCUUCAAUAGCCUGCUUAUUGCAUCCCGGAAAUCUAAAACGGUGUUUCUUCCAUCAGUUUGCUCUUAAAGAGUCUCUUUGUAAUGUUCUAGCAAGACAUUGAUUAACCUGGUUUUAUUUAUAGUUUUCUUAACUCCAAUAUCUUCAAGCCUCUUGAUGUACAACGACAGCUCAGAAAGUUUAAACAUAUGAGUUCCUUUUUUAAUAGCUACAUUCUUCUAUGUACUCGAUAAGCUCGAUAAAUGCUAUUGACUUGUUCAUUUUUCAUCAUCACAUUUGUCAAUUUAUAACAGCACAUUCCUCAUUAGGGAUGGGUAUCGUUUGGUUUUUAUCCGAUACCAGUACAUAACCGAUACUUUUAAAACGAUACCGGUGCCUAAACGGUGCCGGAACCGAUACUUUUAUAAAAAAUAAAAAAAUGUUUACGAUUGACGACAUUUAAGAAAGGCUUUAUUGCCAAAUAUAUGAACUGUUUAAAGUAGAUUAUAUAUAUAAAUAAAUACAAAACACCUUUUAACUUAAAACUUAAAUAAUAUAUGCUGUUAACAAAAGUUUAGACUAUACUUAAAUAAAUACAAAUAAAUACAAAACACACACACACACACUUUGUACACACACUACAGCUUCAAUACUUCAGCAAUUAUUUUGUUCAAUUCAAUUUUUUUUCUUCAAAUUGAACAAUAUAUUAACUGUUUAAAGUAUAUUAUAAAUAUAAAUACAUACAAAACACUUGGCUUCAAACUUUUUAACUUCAAACUAUGAACAUUAUAUUAACUGUAAACAACAGUUUAUAGUAUACUUAAAUAAAUAUAAAUAAAUACAAAAAACAGCUUCAAACUUCUUUUGCAAAAAUAUGAGCAUAUUUGCCUUUUGGAGUCAAAAUUGUAUUAUUUUGUUUGCAUUUAUUUCAUGAAAUUUCACCAUUUUAUGAUUUGUUUAUACCUAUCUUUUCUAUCUUGUUUAUAGUUAAUCUUGUUACUUGAACACACUGUGUACGAGAAAAUGUGUACUGCCCCUUUAAGAGACUACCGUAGGUUAAGUAUAGCUGUCAUCUCCGUUUAUUUUUCAGUCUUCGGUUGCUGAUCUGCCGUUGACUCUUGCCUUCUCUCCCCUCUUUUCACGCAAUUGUUUUGUUGCAUUUGCUGCACGUCGCGAUGUUUGAAUAUUUUAGUGCGAAAUACAGCCACACUUUUGACCGUUUACCUUUCGGUAUUUUCUCUGUUAAAAGGUUGAUGGCUAGUUCUGUUUGUGCUUGCUCUGAAAUGCUGCAUGCUCUUCACUGUCAUAAGACUGUUGCUAUGAAAACACCAAUGAGCGUGAGCGACACAGGACAAAGUUUACAUUGGGAGCUGGGGCAGUUUUACAUGUGCCCCGCGGAAUCUGCCUAGCAACCGUUUUCAAUUGGCUCAGGCACCGAAAUGAAGCACCGAAAUCUGCGUUGCAUUUCGGUCCAGGUAGGUACCGGUUGU
ensembl:lncRNA